AUGUCACAACCCCUGAAAGAAAAUGGAGGAUCAGAGGCAGCAAGUUUAAGAAUAGCAGAGCAAUAUAUUCAUACUUUCGGUAAAGUAGCGAAGGAGGGUACCACAAUGUUGCUUCCUAGCUCUGCAUCCAAUCCUGCUAACAUGAUGGCUCAAGCCCUUACUAUGUAUAAAAGCUUCAUUGGUAAUGUCCCCAGUAAUACGUACAGUAGGACCGGACCCCCUUCAGUAAAAAAAAGGAAGUUAUCCAUCUGA